rnacentral:lncRNA from 1 species
GCUCACACUCGGCCUAGGGGCACCGUCCGGGCUCGCUCUUCCUCCUCGGCGCCUGCCGGGCCUCGCCGGAAGCCCGUGCUUGGCCCGCCCCGCCGCCGCUCUCGCCGCGGAUUGAGUUCCGUCAGCCGCGCGGCCGGCCCCGACCAGGUCCCGAUUGGCCCUGGUCACCGUCCAUCGCAUCCGGCCCGCCUCCGCGCCGGCGGCCUGUUUCCGGCGGAAGCGCGGGCCAGAGCGGCCCCUAUUGUUGCUGUGUCAUAGGGGAGCGGCGGUGGCCCCUGGCGGCAGCGCUGGGAACAGCGCCCCGGCCUCCACGACUCGCAGAAAGGGCCCCCGCGGGGCGGCGCUGCAGAGGUCGAGACCAGGGUGAUGGGCACCGGACCGUACACCAACGUGCUCGUGGGGUUGAGCUGUGACACGUACCCUGGGACGGAUGUCCGCUGUUACCCAUCUAGUUCUGAAUGGACCUGUCUCUCUCCACACCGCAGGGAGACAGCCUGUCUGAUUUGCAUUAUUGGCUUUAAGGCCCCAGGCCCACCCUCCAGCCCUCUCCAGGGCCAAGCAGUGCUGAAUUCUCUGGCAUGCUCCACAAGUUACCAUCUGUGUAUAUGUGAAACGUGUGCGGUCUUUUUCUGAAACAAAGGUGAAAAGUAGUUUUUCUCACUUACUACUGUCUGACGCCGACACCAACGUGUUCCAGGCCAGCCUGAGCUGGAGGGAGUCCCGCCUCUAAGAUGCAUUUCUGUCGCCACUGUGGCUCACUCGCUUUAGUUCCUGCUUGGAAUUCUGAUGCAAGUCAUGACACUGGAUAAACUUGUGGGC